AUGGUGUGGCUGGAGAAAGCGUCCAGUCUGGGGUUUGACUGCACUGGGGGCAGGGCUGGUCAUCCGUGGCCACGCGCCUGGUGGCCGGCCUGGACGUGGAGGGGACGAGAGAGGUCGAGGGGUACCGGCCAACCGGCCGCUCCAGCCACCGGUCCCGGGGGGAGGGGGGGGCGGGGAGAUGCGGGGCAAAGGGCAUUUUCUCGGCGUCCAACACCCCGACGCCAGCUCCCGAGCACCGCUUUGCGGAUGCGUUCAACCUGCCUUCGGAGUCCGAAGCGGCGCCGUUUCGCCUCGUUCUCGGGACAGAAGGCAGGCAGGGCCCCUCCGUGGGCUCGCGGGAGGGAGGGGGCUCGGAUGGGGAGGGGGGCGCCCUCAGAGCCAGAGUCCCCGCUGGCCUGGCGCCCGCGUGCCCGUCGCGCAAGGUGCCCGGGGACCACACGGGCCGUCCCGGGGGCGGGCGGGGCGCCGCUAGGACCCCGGCUCCGAUGCUGCUUUCUCCCCCACCGUGCGGUGCCCAUGUCACAGACGAGGCCACCGAGGCCAGCGAAGGCGGGGGGCUCGCCCAGCCCGGUCACGGGUCGGACGCCGGGGGGCCUGGAGAUGCGCUGGGGGCGCGAGCCCUCGGGGACCAGCGCGCAGCGCCCUGCGCCCCGCACCCGCCCGCCCAGCGCGGGCCCCGCGGCGACAGGUGCGCGGCGAGUGGCGCCCUGGCGCCGAGUCCAGGGAAAGUUUCCCGGCCGCGGCGCGCUGUUUACGGUCGCGUUUUGCAGCGCGGGCCCCGAGCUCCCGGCCAGCCCAGCCAUUGAAACCCGACACGCGGGGAGGGGCCACCGGGGCUGGGGCGGGGGAGGCGAGCGGACCCCGGGCCCCGCCGGCCGCGGCUCCCCUUACCUGCGGCUGCGCGAGCGGCCUCGGCCUCCAUGCUCGGCUCCCGCGGCUCGCGGCCCUCCCGCGGGGCUGCCGCGUUUCCCCUCCCCGCCCCCGCCCCCGCGUGCCCCCCCCCCCCCCACCGGGGCUGCCCCGGAUCCCGGCUACCACCCCGGAGCCGCCCCGCCCCGCCCCGCCCCGCCCCCUCCGCCUGCGGCCUGCGCCGCCUGCCAGCGACCUUGA
rnacentral:lncRNA from 1 species